AAUGACACUGCAAAAAUUUAUUGUCUGCAUUCCCCUAGAUGAUCAGAGCUUCUCCUCUCAAAACUCAUCUCUCUCUCUCUAAUCUUCACUAUUCUUUCUGGGUAAACAUCAACGAGAAGCACCAAAUUUCUCCAUUGUUAUUCUUGCAACUUAUCUGGAUUCCAAAAUGUUGAGCAACUGUCAUCAAUAAAGGAUUGUCAGCAGCGGCAUUAUCUCCGGCAGAGGUGUAACCACCGGUUUUCAUACAGAUCCGGUGGUUGUCACUAGAUUGAUGAGGUUUUGGUUGGGAUUCGCGACUUGGUGAGAUGUGCAGGUUAUAAGGUUGGUGACCAAGAUGAAAAGCUGGCAGAAGGUAUCAAGCUUUAGCUGGGGUGUUCGAGAGAUUUACCGAGAGACCAAUCAAAGUGGUGAUAUUGUUGAUAGUUCGGGUUCGGCUACGGAUGUGUCGUUUUCGAAUAGUACGAAAAGGGUGUUUGAAGUUGCGGUUGAGUAUUCAAGAACUAUGGGGAAAAUAAAUAAGAAGAGUGCAGGACUGGGGAUGAAACAUUUCGAUCUUAAUUAAGUGGGAGAAGUAGAGUUGCCGCGGUUCAUAACCAGUUUGAACAUGCCAAUUGUUUGAACGCAUCUUCAUCCUUAGUGAACUGGUUCGUGUUAUCUUAUAUAAAUUUCAAAUAUACAAUAAAUAAUCUAGUACGUAGCCUUAUUUUACCAUGGCCAGGCAACAUGUUUGUUUAUUAGCACCAUUAGCAGUUGGCACAAAGGGUUUGGGGCCAGGUAGGGUAAAAGGUUCGAUACCAUUUACUUAUAGACAUGUAUGUUGAUUCUAUGGGUCAUGUUUUAUCUCUAGCGCCAAAUGGGUUAAUGGGGUUGAAA